GGGGCCGUAGCUCAGCUGGGAGAGCGCUGCGUUCGCAAUGCAGAGGUCGUGGGUUCGAGUCCCAUCGGCUCCA
rnacentral:tRNA from 1 species